GAUCAUGGCUCAGGAUGAACGCUAGCGGCGGGCCUAACACAUGCAAGUCGAGGGAGGAGCUUUCGGGCUUCGACCGGCGUACGGGUGCGUAACGCGUAUACAAUCUGCCUUUCACAUAGGGAUAGCCCGAAGAAAUUUGGAUUAAUACCUAAUGGUAUAUAGGGAUGGCAUCAUUUUUAUAUUAAAGCUGAGGCGGUGAAAGAUGAGUAUGCGUUCUAUUAGCUAGUUGGAGAGGUAACGG
rnacentral:rRNA from 1 species